GUGAACGCUGGCGGUAGGCCUAACCCCUGCAAGUCGAACGGCAGCACCGUAAGAGCUUGCUCUUACGGGUGGCGAGUGGCGGACGGGUGAGGAAUACAUCGGAAUCUACUUUUUCGUGGGGGAUAACGUAGGGAAACUUACGCUAAUACCGCAUACGACCUACGGGUGAAAGCAGGGGAUCUUCGGACCUUGCGCGAUUGAAUGAGCCGAUGUCGGAUUAGCUAGUUGGCGGGGUAAAGGCCCACCAAGGCGACGAUCCGUAGCCGGUCUGAGAGGAUGAUCAGCCACACUGGAACUGAGACACGGUCCAGACUCCUACGGGAGGCAGCAGUGGGGAAUAUUGGACAAUGGGCGCAAGCCUGAUCCAGCCAUACCGCGUGGGUGAAGAAGGCCUUCGGGUUGUAAAGCCCUUUUGUUGGGAAAGAAAAGCAGCAGGUUAAUACCCCGCUGUUCUGACGGUACCCAAAGAAUAAGCACCGGCUAACUUCGUG
rnacentral:rRNA from 1 species